ACUCUUGCUCGGUGUGCGGCAGCCAGAACUAUUACCGUGUUGCUUGUCUUUUUCAGAUAUCCCUACGAGUUGGCGAGCGUCAAGUUCCUGGCGGGAAUAACAUCCUUUCGGAGAUAGAUCAUCUUAAUGCCCUUUCAUUUGUCUUUUUUCUAGGGACAAGUGAGGGCUGGUGGAUCAAACAUUA
rnacentral:snoRNA from 1 species